rnacentral:rRNA from 1 species
AUUGAACGCUGGCGGCAGGCCUAACACAUGCAAGUCGAGCGGAGCGGCGGACGGGUGAGUAAUGCCUAGGAAUAUGCCUGGUAGUGGGGGAUAACGUCCGGAAACGGGCGCUAAUACCGCAUACUAUCAGAUGAGCCUAGGACGGAUUAGCUAGUUGGUGGGGUAAAGGCCUACCAAGGCGUCGAUCCGUAACUGGUCUGAGAGGAUGAACAGUCAAGCUGUAACUGAGACACGGUCCAAACUCCUACGGGAGGCAGCAUGGGGGAAUAUUUGACAAUGGGCGAAAGACUGAUCCAGCCAUGCCGCGUGUGUGAAGAGGGUCUUCGGAUUGUAAGGCACUUUAAGUUGGGAGGCGUUACCAACAGAAUAAGCACCGGCUAACUUCGUGCCAGCAGCCGCGGUAAUUC